CCUAUCCGCCUGGAAACUACGAGCAACAGCUUAAAACCCAAAGGACUUGGCGGUGCUUUAGACCCACCUAGAGGAGCCUGUUCUAUAACCGAUAACCCCCGUUUAACCUCACCUUUCCUUGUCAUCCCCGCCUAUAUACCGCCGUCGCCAGCUUACCCUGUGAAGGUCCCCUAGUAAGCACAAUUGGUACAACCCAAAACGUCAGGUCGAGGUGUAGCGUAUGGAGAGGGAAGAAAUGGGCUACAUUCCCUAUUACAGCGAAUCACGGAUAAUAUUACUGAAACGUGUAUCUAGAAGGAGGAUUUAGCAGUAAGCGGAAAGCAGAGCGUCCCGCUG
rnacentral:rRNA from 1 species